rnacentral:rRNA from 1 species
GACGAACGCUGGCGGCGUGCCUAAUACAUGCAAGUAGAACGCUGAAGGAGGAGCUUGCUUCUCUGGAUGAGUUGCGAACGGGUGAGUAACGCGUAGGUAACCUGCCUGGUAGCGGGGGAUAACUAUUGGAAACGAUAGCUAAUACCGCAUAAGAGUAGAUGUUGCAUGACAUUUGCUUAAAAGGUGCAAUUGCAUUACUACCAGAUGGACCUGCGUUGUAUUAGCUAGUUGGUGGGGUAACGGCUCACCAAGGCGACGAUACAUAGCCGACCUGAGAGGGUGAUCGGCCACACUGGGACUGAGACACGGCCCAGACUCCUACGGGAGGCAGCAGUAGGGAAUCUUCGGCAAUGGACGGAAGUCUGACCGAGCAACGCCGCGUGAGUGAAGAAGGUUUUCGGAUCGUAAAGCUCUGUUGUAAGAGAAGAACGAGUGUGAGAGUGGAAAGUUCACACUGUGACGGUAGCUUACCAGAAAGGGACGGCUAACUACGUG